AUUGAACGCUGGCGGCAGGCUUAACACAUGCAAGUCGAGCGGUAGCACAGGGGAGCUUGCUCCCUGGGUGACGAGCGGCGGACGGGUGAGUAAUGUCUGGGAAACUGCCUGAUGGAGGGGGAUAACUACUGGAAACGGUAGCUAAUACCGCAUAACGUCGCAAGACCAAAGAGGGGGACCUUCGGGCCUCUUGCCAUCAGAUGUGCCCAGAUGGGAUUAGCUAGUAGGUGGGGUAAUGGCUCACCUAGGCGACGAUUCCUAGCUGGUCUGAGAGGAUGACCAGCCACACUGGAACUGAGACACGGUCCAGACUCCUACGGGAGGCAGCAGUGGGGAAUAUUGCACAAUGGGCGCAAGCCUGAUGCAGCCAUGCCGCGUGUGUGAAGAAGGCCUUCGGGUUGUAAAGCACUUUCAGCGAGGAGGAAGGUGGUGAACUUAAUACGUUCAUCAAUUGACGUUACUCGCAGAAGAAGCACCGGCUAACUCCGUG
rnacentral:rRNA from 1 species